AAAAUAUUUAGUUUCCAAGGACCUGAGCACCCGUCUCAAUCCACUAUCACUUUCUUAAUAAUGCUAUAAUGCUAAAGAUGCCAAGUUCAACAUUCUACUCAAACCUAUCUACUGAUACAUACCAAACAAGAAUGAAAGUCGAUCUCAUAAGAAAUAUACAUAAAUCUUUAUGAAACCAUGAAAAGCUAUCACCAUGAGUAACCAGGACAAUUGCAUUACAGUACACAACCUAGUGAAAUCCAAAGUAAGGAGACACAAAAGCAAUAGCAACUAAGUUCAACUGUUAUCGCAAAUAAAAAAUCAUGUUUGCAUUUCACUAAAUGAAAAGUAUAAUUAAAAAUAUUUCAU
rnacentral:misc_RNA from 1 species